rnacentral:miRNA from 1 species
GUGCAUCGAGACGGUCGGAAGC